UGGACCUUCAGCUUGUCUGGUUCUCACACUUGCCUAAGCCAAACAUGGCCUCUGUGGCUCCAUGGUCAGGAACAGAUGCAGAUGCUGUUUAAAUGCUUCCCAGGGGUGGACUGGCUCCAUCGCCUACAUUCACUGGCGCGUUGUUAGGCAGCCGGGCAGCUCAGAAACUGGUUUAACACUAAGCUUAUACAUUGGUCUCUGUAAUUUUCACGUCCGUCAGCUGAUGGAUUUUCCUCAUUCUCGUGAAAGACGGAUUUCUAUCAAGCUGAUCCAUCGACCAAGUUGUUUAUGCGAAUUAGGACAGACUGAGCGAGGCAUGCCUUGGAGAAGAAUGAACAUGGGGUGAUCUGUCUACAGGGAAAAGCCUGCUCGGUCAGAUUGGUUCCACUGCCAAGAUGAGGUGUAGGGGAUCAUUACAGUGAUCAUUUAAACUGCUGGUUGUUGGAUCAAGAGGACACAGAUGUGGAUGUCAGAGAUGUGUGCAUCACCCAGAGCUCCAGGACGUGAAAUGUGACGCCGGGUUGUCUCUCUUGGGAGUGUACACAUGGAUUGGGAGAGCCCAGAGAUCUGCAGACGUCCAAAUGUGGGAGCCAGGAGCCAUAUGCAGACAAGGAGCCGUUCAAGUGUGGCUGGUCCAAAUUGAAAUGUGCCUGGGAUUUUGAAAAUGUAUAUGAAAAAGAGAAUGGAUUAAAUUGAGUUGAAGCAGCCUGGAACAGUCUGAUGACUCUUCCUUCCAGCCACGGAAAGUGUCAGGUGUCCUGCGUCUCGCAUCUGACAUCCUAUCGGUGAGGAUAACAAUCCACAACAGAGAUCCUUUGGCUCCGUGGAGGUCCAUCUACAGACUGAUUUAUGUUAGAGUUGUCAGUGACAUGAGAAAUAAAUCAGAAUAACGCAGAGCCUGCUAAGUGCACGCGUUUUGGAGACAAAUGGCCUUAGGUUCGAAUUCUGCUACUUAGUAGCGGUGUGAUGGGGAACUCCCUGAGCAUUGCAUUUUAGGUGAUGAUUAGACAGCAGAUGAUAGGUGGGAAAUAAAAGUGAUAGUAGUGAUAAGGAGAAUUAUUAAAGCAGCUAUCAUUAAAUAAAGGCUUAC